UCCCUCAUAGCUCAGUCGGUAAAGAAUCUGCCUGCAAUGUAGGAGACCCGGGUUUGAUUCCUGGAUUGGGAA
rnacentral:tRNA from 1 species